GUGGAUUAGAUACCCUGGUAGUCCACGCCGUAAACGUUGGGCACUAGGUGUGGGUCUCAACCAACGGGAUCCGUGCCGUAGCUAACGCAUUAAGUGCCCCGCCUGGGGAGUACGGCCGCAAGGCUAAAACUCAAAGGAAUUGACGGGGGCCCGCACAAGCGGCGGAGCAUGUUGCUUAAUUCGAGGCAACGCGAAGAACCUUACCUGGGCUUGACAUGUAGGGAAAAGCCGUAGAGAUACGGUGUCCUUCGGGGCCCUACACAGGUGGUGCACGGCCGUCGACAACU
rnacentral:rRNA from 1 species